UACGAAGGGGGCUAGCGUUGCUCGGAAUCACUGGGCGUAAAGCGCACGUAGGCGGAUUGCUAAGUCAGGGGUGAAAUCCUGGAGCUCAACUCCAGAACUGCCCUUGAUACUGCGGUCUCGAGUCCGGGAGAGGUGAGUGGAAUUCCUAGUGUAGAGGUGAAAUUCGUAGAUAUUAGGAAGGAACACCAGUGGCGAAGGCGGGUCGCUGGGCA
rnacentral:rRNA from 1 species